rnacentral:rRNA from 1 species
CUACGGGCCGCUCCAGUGAGGAAUAUUGCACAAUGGGGGGAACCCUGAUGCAGCAACGCCGCGUGGAGGAUGACGCAUUUCGGUGUGUAAACUCCUUUUAUAUGUCAAGAAAAUGACGGUAGCAUAUGAAUAAGCACCGGCUAACUCCGUGCCAGCAGCCGCGGUAAUACGGAGGGUGCAAGCGUUACUCGGAAUCACUGGGCGGAAAGGACGCGUAGGCGGGUUGGAAAGUCAGGUGUGAAAUCCUACAGCUUAACUGUAGAACUGCACUUGAAACUUCUAAUCUAGAGUAUGGGAGGGGGAGAUGGAAUUAGUGGUGUAGGGGUAAAAUCCGUAGAUAUCACUAGGAAUACCUAAAGCGAAGGCGAUCUCCUGGAACAUUACUGACGCUAAGGCGUGAAAGCGUGGGGAGCAAACAGGAUUAGAUACCCCUGUAGUC